UGUCAAUUUGGAAUUUUUGAUGAAGAAGAUGUGUCAAAAGAAGCACCUUUUGUGUAUGAUCAAGUUCUUCACCACAAAAACUAGCAGAUAGAGAACAAGGUUGCUGCCUAGAAAUGGGUAGCUUUUGUUUUUGCAGUUGUUGCUGAAAUAAGGUGAACUCAUCAGGCUUCUCCCACUGCACGACAAAGUUCAAUACAAUAGUCACAACCUCUAAAGGUCUAAUCAAUUCUAAUUGUAGCAAUUUCUCACAAAUUGAAACUUAUAGCUUAAACAAACCUAAGGAAAAUAUUGUUGUUAGCAAUUGGGUGUCGUAAGCCCAACCCAUCAUAUCUUUUGAAACAUACUCUCUUUCUCUACAACCUUCCUGUUGGCGAUGUUCUCACAAAACAGAGACUGAACACUAAUUUCCUAAGAUAAGGAGAUAGCUCACUAGUGUUCUCAAGAAAAAUAUCAUACUCUGAACACUUUUCUCGGUCCCUCCCCUCACCCUUCAUUACCCGCCAAAGCAUUUAAGCAGUUGCAUUUUUCAUAAUUUCAACUUAAAAAAUGCAUCCAUAGACUUCCUGAGAAAAGAUCUCCAGCUUAAUCAGUUAAAUUGAUUUAAUUUUGCAACCUAUUCGGAUAAAUGUUAGACACAAGUGGCAUGGUGGCCAGAUUUGGGUCGUACUGGAGUUGCCUUUCUGCAACCUCACAUAAAAAGCUUGUGCAUGAGGAAGCGAAAGAGUAGAUUUUAAAUUUAAACUACAAAAAUUUCUAAGAACCUACUCAAUGUAGUUGAUAAAGGCAGAAACUUACUCUACUUUCACAAGUUGUGCAAUUAUAAUAGUACUUGUACCCAUCAGGGCAGCUAUGCUCACUCCAAUCACACUCUUGUGGAUCUGCUGUCUGGGGACUUGCAGGUACUGCAGGUGCGGCAGAAGUAACACUCACAGCCAGAGUAUUGCUCUCAGUCCAUUGAGACUGUAGGAAGGUAGGACAUGGUAGAUAGUCACAGUUCUCAUUGUAACCAGUUACAAGAUAUGAGAUAUCAAUAUAAUGAGUUGAAUGAAUUGCUAAAAAAAAAAAAAAAAAGCAUUCUCAUUAUCUUGUUCCAAUUCACCAAAUUAAUUAAAUAUUCCACCCAUUAAAAUUGAAAUAUAUAUAAAUAGAAGGGGACAUUCUUUUUCUUUUUUAGCUGGAAAAAAAUUACAAUAGAUUGUGACCUUGCACAUGAGACAAGACAUUGAAUACUUUCACAACAGCAAAAAGAGUAAAAAAAAAAAAAAAAAAAAAAGGGUUUUAAAAAAACACAACANNNNNNNNNNNNNNNNNNNNNNNNNNNNNNNNNNNNNNNAUGUAUAGAUUUUUCACUUACUAUAUUAACCUUGAAAUGAAUUUCUAUCUUACUUCCGUUAGGCAAUUCUAGCUUGCUGAUCGUAAUUUGUACUGUGAUAACAUCUAAAGUCAAUUUUCCACAAGAACAAAAAUGUAAAUUCAAGUGCACUCUGGCUUUUUCAUGACUUGCAACUGCAGUACCACUUGAUUAUUAAACAAGCAAAAAGAUUCUAACAUAGAAAACCAUACAAAAGAAAGAGAAUACCACAGACGAUGAUGUCAAUUUGGAAUUUUUGAUGAAGAAGAUGUGUCAAAAGAAGCACCUUUUGUGUAUGAUCAAGUUCUUCACCACAAAAACUAGCAGAUAGAGAACAAGGUUGCUGCCUAGAAAUGGGUAGCUUUUGUUUUUGCAGUUGUUGCUGAAAUAAGGUGAACUCAUCAGGCUUCUCCCACUGCACGACAAAGUUCAAUACAAUAGUCACAACCUCUAAAGGUCUAAUCAAUUCUAAUUGUAGCAAUUUCUCACAAAUUGAAACUUAUAGCUUAAACAAACCUAAGGAAAAUAUUGUUGUUAGCAAUUGGGUGUCGUAAGCCCAACCCAUCAUAUCUUUUGAAACAUACUCUCUUUCUCUACAACCUUCCUGUUG
rnacentral:lncRNA from 1 species